rnacentral:lncRNA from 1 species
UCCGCCGGACUCGGAAUGGCGCGAGACUUUUCGAGGCGCCCCCAUGUGCCAAAAAUAGGCCGCGGGCGCAGCCGCGCCCAAAAAUAACCGCCCGAAGGCCGGGGCGCCAAGUUCGUCCAGCGGAAAAAUGCCACAAAAACGGGUGGGCUAUAACCUUGGGGGGUGGGGCUGGCCAACAUCGUCCGCCGGACUCGGAAUGGCGUGAGACUUUACAAGGCGCCUCCGUGUGCCAAAAAGUGGCCGUGGGCACACCAGCGCCGAAAAAUAACCGCCCGAAGGCCGGGGCGCCAAGUUCGUCCUGCGGAAAAAGCCCACAAAAACGGGUGGGCUAUAGCCUUGGGGGGUGGGGCUGGCCAACUUCGUCCGCUGGUCUCGGAAUGGCGCGAGACUUUGCGAGGCGCCUCCGUGUGCCAAAAAUAAGCUGCGGGAACAGCCGUGCCCAAAAAGAACCGCCCGAAGGCCGGGGCGCAAUUUCGUCCAGCGGAAAAAGCCCACAAAAACGGGUGCGCUAUAGCCUUGGGGGGUGGGGCUGGCCAACUUCGUCCGCUUGACUCGGAAUGGCACGAGACUUUGCGAGCCGCCUCCGUGUGCCAAAAAUAUGCCGCGAGCACAGCCGUGCCCAAAAAUAACCGCCCGAUGGCCGGUUCGCCACGUUCGUCCAGCGGAAAAAGGCCACAAAAACGGGUGGGCUAUAGCCUUGGGGGGUGGGGCUGGCCAACUUCGUCCGCCGGACUCGGAAUGGCACGAGACUUUGCGAGCCGCCUCCGUGUGCCAAAAAUAGGCCGCGGGCGCAACCGCGCCCAAAAAUUAGCCCCCGAAGAUCGGGGUGCCAAGACCCCCCAGUGGAAAAAUGGCCAAAAAACGGGUGGGCUAUAGCCUUGGUGGGGGGCGUGGGCGAAGUUCGUCCCC